rnacentral:lncRNA from 1 species
GUUUCAUGCUGAACCAAAUAUUCUCACAGAUAUUUAUACAGUGUGGUGGGGUGCUUUUAUGUUUAAAAUCGUUAUAUACAGGUUAGACUGUGAUUUUAAAAACAAAUGUUGAUAUCUUUUUAUAAUAUUUACAAAAUAAAAACGGUGCGGGAAAUGGACAUGAUUACAUUUCCGGAUGCGGGAAGCGGGAAUAUAAAAAAAAUAAAAAAAUUCUGUUUCGAAAAAAAUAGGUGCAGGCGGGUCCGUCGAACAAGG